UACGAACUGUGCGAACGUUAUUCGGAAUCACUGGGCUUACAGGGUGCGUAGGCGGCUUGUUAAGUAGGGUGUGAAAGCCCCCGGCUCAACCGGGGGAAUUGCGCCCUAAACUGGCGAGCUAGAGUGAGAUAGGGGGUAUGUGGAACUUCCGGUGGAGCGGUGAAAUGUGUUGAUAUCGGAAGGAACGCCGGUGGCGAAAGCGACAUACUGGGAUCUUGUCUGACGCUGAGGCACGAAAGCCAGGGGAGCGAACGGGAUUAGACGUACCCAGUA
rnacentral:rRNA from 1 species